rnacentral:rRNA from 1 species
UACGUAGGCAGCAAGCGUUGUUCGGAGUUACUGGGCGUAAAGGGUGUGUAGGCGGUUCUUUUAAGUUUGGUGUGAAAUCUCCCGGCUCAACUGGGAGGGUGCGCCGAAUACUGAGGGACUAGAGUACGGGAGAGGAAAGUGGAAUUCCUGGUGUAGCGGUGAAAUGCGUAGAUAUCAGGAGGAACACCGGUGGUGUAGACGGCUUUCUGGACCGACACUGACGCUGAGGAGCGAAAGCGUGGGGAGCGAACAGG